AUUUACCAACAUCAAAAUUCCUCGUGAAAUGUUUUCAUCAGAAAAUGUGAUAGAAAAUGGAAUCAUGCCUGUGGACACUUGUAGGUCCUUAAAUUAUUCCUAAAUAAUAUUGAUUGGCACUGGUGACUGUCAUUAAAAUAUUGCCGUUUGAUCAUGAUAAUUUAACACAAAAUAAUAUGAUUCCACAGGAUUAUUUAAAAAAUGGAGUAGACAACGUAAACGUUUAAAUGGCUCAAGAUGUUUAUCUUAUUAUUCAACAAGAGGCUGGAAACGAUUGGACCAAAAUCGUGUCAGAAACUAUUAAUGAAGUUUACGGAUCUGAAAUAAAAAACUUCUCUGCUCGUGGACGAUAUUCAACUAGUCGGCCAAAAAUUAAUGCCAAGUUAU